UCUUAUGGAUGAGUAAAGAAAGUGGUUUCUUGAGAUGGAAUCUACUCUUGGUGAACGUGCUGUGAA
rnacentral:pre_miRNA from 1 species